UCAAUGUAAUCACACCUCGAAGAAGAAAUGGAAAACCUUGGGAUGUUGAUAAAGCUAAUAUCCUGAGGAAGAACUUCAGCGGGUCCCAGCUGAGUGGGAGAUGGGAUUCAGCAGUACUGGCCUAAUGUGCUGGAGUGGCCCAGGCAGAGGCCCACUGGCAGAGACUAUGGAAGCCUCAAGAGAAAAUCUACCAUAAGAGAAGGACCAGUCUGACAGCAAGCCCAGCUUCCCAAGAAGAUAGAAGGCUGGAGACAAGCUGCUGUCCAGGGGCUGGUUAGGUGAGUGGAGCGCCCUGCUGUGGUGUGCCUGUGGGACCACUGGAGCCUGAAGCUGCCAAGGCAUGACUUGACCAGCCCCGGCAACUGGUUUAGGAUCAUACAACCAUGCACACACCCCUAGGAUUCCUAGAAAUACUAGGGGGAAAAGGAUUUUCCUGGAACUGCGGCUUUCUACAUUUGCACAGGUAGGAGGACAGGAUUUUCAAGAUGCCCAAGAAAGUAAUCAAGCAAUAAUCAUGCGCAUCUUCAAGAAGGAAUGGUGGAGCCCCACAUGACCCACGG